rnacentral:sRNA from 1 species
GAUAUUGCUUGGUAGACCGACGGUCCGA